UUGGCAUAAAACUGCCGUUAUAGCUGAGCCAGUGGCCAGGCGUAACGUCUCAGCGGCAAAACCUCAGUUUUUUGCAGCGAACCUUAGAGAUAACUGAAGGUUCCAACUGGAGUUUAGCAAGCAGGUUUCCAGUGAUUACAAUGUUUCAUCUUGCAAGUCAAGUGAACCCCCUUUGGCUAAACACUUAAUGGCCAAGCAUCAUAAGAACAUAAGAACAGCCCUGGUGGAUCAGGCCCAAGGCAUACCUAAUCCAGCGUCCUGUUCUGCACAGUGGCCCACCAGAUGCCUCUGAAAAGCCCACAGGCAAGAGGUGAGGCGUCGGAAGCUCUAAGGGCCAAACUACAGGAGUUAAUGUCCAUGUCUGGAUUCAACAAAGUAGCAGCUCAAUGAAGAAGCUGUUCAUCCAGCACAGUUGUUCUGGUUCCCUAUCAAUGAGGUUCAGAACUUCAAAGCGGUUCCUGAUGUUCUCCUUGAAAAUGCCCAGCAAGGACUCUCCCAUCCUCCACAAACUCUGUGACCAUCUCAUCAUUGGCCUCUGCUUUAUAUGCCUCCCUGCACUUGCAGCAAGUCUCACACGAGUCUAGGAUCAAACCUCGCAUUAUCUUGGGCUCCCAUGAGAUCUCACGGUCAAAUGUGCCUUCUAUGGAGUCUGCCUUUUCCACAGCCUCCACCCAGGUCAACUGCCAGUCCUCCUCCUCUCAUGCUCAGACCAGUUAAGUCAGGCCGCUGCACGGCCAUGUUGGGUCUCGGCCCACAGAGUACAACACAACUAAACCACAAACUUUAUCUAUAGAUUAAAGCAUUUUCUAAUGUAUACAGUACUUCCAGUGACUGUUGCUGGUGUCUAUCUUGUGUUUCUUUUUAGAUUGUGAGCCCUUUCUGGACAGGGAUCCAUCUUAUUUAUUUACUUAUUUAUUAUUUCUCUAUGUAAACUACUUUGGAAACUUUUUUUGAAAGCAGUAUAUAAUUGUUGUUGUCGUCAGAAAGUUGGUAGCAAAAUUGUAUAUAAGGACAAUAUGUUAAAAAAAAUGUACUCAAAACUGCUUCACAAAAUGAAGCUAAUUCCAAUUUGCCCAAGCAAUUUAAGUGUAUGAAGAAAAGUUUUCAUUUCGUGUUACAUUUGCUAAUGUAAACAUAACAUAAAAUAAUAAAAUAUGACUUUGAUCCGCA